rnacentral:rRNA from 1 species
CAGACUCCUACGGGAGGCAGCAGUGGGGAAUAUUGGACAAUGGGCGAAAGCCUGAUCCAGCCAUGCCGCGUGAGUGAUGAAGGCCUUAGGGUUGUAAAGCUCUUUCAGCGGGGAAGAUAAUGACGGUACCGGCAGAAUAAGCCCCGGCUAACUUCGUGCCAGCAGCCGCGGUAAUACGAAGGGGGCUAGCGUUGUUCGGAAUUACUGGGCGUAAAGCGCGCGUAGGCGGCUUUGUAAGUCAGGGGUGAAAUCCCGGAGCUCAACUCCAGAACUGCCUUUGAUACUGCAUCUCUUGAGUCCGGGAGA